UUCAACUUCUGUUCUCUUUUCCCACUAGGAGGCCAGCAGGCAAAGCUACACUUACGUGUGUGCAUGCUUUUGUUUAAUCUCUGUGAGGAGGAAUGGGUGUUGCUUUUCCAGAAAUACAUAAAUUCUGUUACUUAUAAAGGUACAAGCCACGUACAGAGGACUGCCUUUUGGGAUGUCACCCCAUACGUCUAAGGCCGCGCCGAAUCUCCACACUGGCCCACAUUGUCAUACGAAGAUCUGAUUUUGUGUCAUGAAGUCUCCAUAACUGAAGCCCUUGCGAAAAUAAGUACGAGUGGUGCAUCGCAGGUUUCCUUUCCGAGAAGGCGCAACCAAAGCUUCGUAUUUUUCAAAGACAUGUUGCUUAACCGGACUUCGAGGCCCGAGACUGAGUGGGCUUGAGUGUCACCAUGUCAUUGGUCGUCCUGAAGUUGGCGGAUAAGGGAGGCUGCCUCCAGAUAUGAAGCGUGGCAGCGGAAGGACUGCGCAAGCAGCAGCGGCAUGUAGCCAGAGGGAUGAGUUUCGGCUCCUGUUCUGGAACCUGGACAUUGUACGAUCUGAGGGAGGUGGCCAAAUGAAGGAGGAAAACAUAGUCACACUAACACUGGAAAGAAUGUGGUCACCCCCAGUUUGUGACAACCAGUACAGCUGCAACUGCUGAUGAAGGCAGAAUGUCAUUCAG